rnacentral:rRNA from 1 species
GCUUACGGCCAUACCAGCCUGAAUGCUCCCGAUCUCGUCAGAUCUUGGAAGCUAAGCAAGGUCGGGUCUGAUUAGUACUUGGAUGGGAGACUUUCUGGGAAUACCAGGUGCUGUAAGCA